CAGCAGCCGCGGUAAUACAGAGGGUGCGAGCGUUAAUCGGAUUUACUGGGCGUAAAGCGUGCGUAGGCGGCUUCUUAAGUCGGAUGUGAAAUCCCUGAGCUUAACUUAGGAAUUGCAUUCGAUACUGGGAAGCUAGAGUAUGGGAGAGGAUGGUAGAAUUCCAGGUGUAGCGGUGAAAUGCGUAGAGAUCUGGAGGAAUACCGAUGGCGAAGGCAGCCAUCUGGCCUAAUACUGACGCUGAGGUACGAAAGCAUGGGGAGCAAACAGGAUUAGAUAUCCCAGUAGUCCCUGUCUCUUAUAC
rnacentral:rRNA from 1 species